rnacentral:rRNA from 1 species
AGUGAACGCUGGCGGUAGGCCUAACACAUGCAAGUCGAACGGCAGCACAGUAAGAGCUUGCUCUUACGGGUGGCGAGUGGCGGACGGGUGAGGAAUACAUCGGAAUCUACUUUUUCGUGGGGGAUAACGUAGGGAAACUUACGCUAAUACCGCAUACGACCUACGGGUGAGAGCAGGGGAUCUUCGGACCUUGCGCGAUUGAAUGAGCCGAUGUCGGAUUAGCUAGUUGGCGGGGUAAAGGCCCACCAAGGCGACGAUCCGUAGCUGGUCUGAGAGGAUGAUCAGCCACACUGGAACUGAGACACGGUCCAGACUCCUACGGGAGGCAGCAGUGGGGAAUAUUGGACAAUGGGCGCAAGCCUGAUCCAGCCAUACCGCGUGGGUGAAGAAGGCCUUCGGGUUGUAAAGCCCUUUUGUUGGGAAAGAAAAGCAGCAGGUUAAUACCCCGCUGUUCUGACGGUACCUAAAGAAUAAGCACCGGCUAACUUCGUG